ensembl:rRNA 5S_rRNA 5S ribosomal RNA
GCCAGCAGCCAUAUCACCCUGCAACUCACAACUGGUAACCCACUGAAGCUAAGCAGGUGUGAGCCUGGUCAGUACCUGGAUCGGAGACCUUCUGGGAAAAACCGAGAUUGCUGCUGGAA